UUUCGCUAGCGCCGGCCACUUUGCUCUUUAGUAAAUCUGCCCCAUUGCCUGUGUGAUUUCUUGCUCUAAAUCCUCCAGUUCCCUUGGGCCAUGACUUCUCUCCUGCCCGGGAUAUCAUGUUUAUGUCAGUCAUUAUGGCAGCAUUCAGCCCCAUUUUCCUGCACUGCAAAGUCUCCAUAACAUCAUUCUCACGGCUGCCAUUAUUUUAAAACAGACUCUCUCUAACUCCCUUACCCCCAACCUGAGGAUUCAGGGCCCAAGUUCUGUUUGCUGCAUUCAUUACUAUUAUUAACUUUAUCAUUAUUGGCCCUGAGGGGCCCAUUGCCAUCAGACGAAAUCUGCAGAAAGUUUUACCUCACCUGCUCUGUAGAAGUUCAUUUACAGUGCCUUCCCUCACACACCUGAUUCAGCGCCAUCUUAGAUUCCACUCUGGCUGACCUGCAGCUGCCUGACCUUCCUCCCAGCAGCCUCUUGGGUUCCCCUGGAGUCUAUCUAUGCAGGGGGUUACACAGCCUGAAGGUCCAGAGGGAUCCAACCUCAAAGCAACAUCACUAGAAGGUUCACUGGGGAUUUCUGUCAGGCUUAUGACACAUUUUCCCUCAUCCAAGAUGGCUGCAGAUACCUCAACCCUUCUCCUCCAUUAUGUUUCCUGUCAGCAACACAGACAGCCUUGAGGUAAAACAAAACAAAAUCCAGCCAACCGGACGCUGUGAAAGAGACACCUGUAGACGUUAUCCGACUUCAUUGUUGCGCACAAUAGCAUCCCUGCAGCCAUGGAAAGCCUUUUCCGGAUCUGUACUGUCCAUUUGGAUCCAGAGGAAGAUGAGAUUUCUUACAUAACAGUAAAUAUAAGCGCAGACACAAGGCCUCUGUAUAUCAACCAUAUGUGUUAUAUAAAUUAUAAUGGAGCAUCUCAGAAUUGUGCAAAGGAGUGGGCAGAGCUUGCAAAAAAUUCAGUUUAUUUGGUGAGGCUGCUGUUUAAUUUGGCUGAAAUUAUGAGUGGCCAGUGAUUGAAUCACACCAGGGCUGGACCAAGUAGCCAAUGUUACCCUGACUAGCACUCCAAACCACUCACUUACCUUCCACUAGGCUGCUCGAUUUGCACCCCACCAUUACCCCACACAUAAUUCCUGCUGGUCUCUCCCUUCUGCUUAGAUCACUCCCUUUCCAAUUAUGCCACCACCAAAUUGUCCCCAAGG